rnacentral:lncRNA from 1 species
CUUAUUACAAGUGAAAAUAAUACUGCAGUCUGAGUAUGAAAAAUAAAAGCACACACCAUUUUUUUAAUUGACUUUUAUUUUGAAACUCGGACGGUAGGGGCCGCCAGAGACCAGGAACUGCUUCAGAGUGGCACCUCUGAUUGGCUAACCCUAACUCUCACCUGACCAAUCAAAUCAUCGGAGGCAACGAACACUAGCCAAUCAGAGGUAGCGGAGGGCGGGUCUUAUGCGCGUGGGAAUGGAGGAUUGUUGGUAUUUUAUCUUUUAAAUAUUAUAAACUGACAUUGUUGGGGGGGGGGGGAAUCGAUUGAUGACAAAUAUAUCAAUGAUCCACUAAAGUCAGGAUCAAUAACAGAUCAAUAACUGUGGUUGUUUGUUGUCUUCGCCGCUGUUUUAAUAGUACGGGAGCCUGGAGGGACAACUGAGUGAGCUCCUCCUGGAGGGAGGAGGUCUAUCGCAGUGCAGGCCAGGCUCCUUUCUACAGGUAGGUCUUUUAUUUUAAAUAUUAUAUUAAUGUAUCUUCUGUAUUUGCUGUUAAAACAUCUGUCUCCUGUUGCAUUUUCUGACCUGUAACACCAUUAAUCUCAAUGUCAUUUACAGAUUUGGAGACGUACUGAGGAGCUGCUCUCUCUCUCUCUCUCAACAGAUUCACCUUAAUGCCUCGAGGUCAACCUCUGUGUCAUGAACUGACUCUUCCUUCCCUGUCACAAUGCGUCGCCACAAAUCAAACCUCAAGAAGCGAAGGAAAGAGGACGCAGAGAGAAAGAGAAUAGCUCGCAUGACCGAGACGCCACAACAAACCGAGCUCCGUCAGGCCCUCGAUAGACAAAGGAAACGCCAACAAAUAGCAAACGAGACGCCAGAAGCUGCAAAGCGUCGCAGAGACUUUAACAAGGAGGCCAUGGCGAGGCACAGAGCCCGAGAAACACCAGAGGCUGCAGAACAUCGCCGACACGUGAACAAACUUGCCAAGGCACGCCACAGAGUGCAGCAAACGCCAGAGGAUGCAGAACGCCGUCGAGCCUCGCACAGACGAGCCAAGGCACGGCGGAGAGCACGAGAAACCCCAGAGGCUGCAGAACGUCGCAGACUCUCAAACAAAGCAGCCAUGGCACGGCGCAGAGCACGACAGAAAGCAGAGCUCUGGAUGGACCAGAUAACUGUGGUGAGAAUAGGUGACACACACAUUGCAGAGGAGCAGGUUAAAGACGACGCUGCAGAGUACUACGAGGAGGAGGAAGAGGAAGACGGUGUUUAUGUCAUUGAGUAUUCAAAUCCUGAAGAGGAGGAGGAGAGCUACCUGUUCACAGUGUCUGCGGACAGAAAGCCAGUAACUAACUCAUCCUGUGGUCGGAGUGAACGCCAGAGCUCCUCUACCUGCGAUGUCUAA